GGCUGGUCUGAGUGUAAUGGUGCUUACAACUUAAUUGAUCACAACCAGUUACAGAUUCCUUUGUUUCUUCUCCACUCCAGCUGCUUCACUUGACUAGCUUUAA
ensembl:misc_RNA Y_RNA Y RNA